UUGCUAUCUGCGAUAUGGAAGAUUCGAACCUGCCGCAGGUUCGGGUCGAACGCAGUGAGACAACGGAGCCGCUUGCGGCGACGGCCCGAAGGGCGAGCGAAGCGAGUCAUCCUGCACGACCCACCA
rnacentral:sRNA from 23 species